rnacentral:rRNA from 1 species
GUGGGGAAUCUUCCACAAUGGACGAAAGUCUGAUGGAGCAACGCCGCGUGAGUGAAGAAGGGUUUCGGCUCGUAAAGCUCUGUUGUCGGGGACGAAUGUGCAGUAUUUGAAUAAAGUACUGCAAUGACGGUACCUGACGAGGAAGCCACGGCUAACUACGUGCCAGCAGCCGCGGUAAUACGUAGGUGGCAAGCGUUGUCCGGAAUUAUUGGGCGUAAAGGGAGCGCAGGCGGGAAGGUAAGUCGGUCUUAAAAGUGCGGGGCUCAACCCCGUGAUGGGAUCGAAACUAUCUUUCUUGAGUGCAGGAGAGGAAAGUGGAAUUCCUAGUGUAGCGGUGAAAUGCGUAGAUAUUAGGAGGAACACCAGUGGCGAAGGCGACUUUCUGGACGAAAACUGACGCUGAGGCGCGAAAGCCAGGGGAGCGAACGGGAUUAGAAACCCGUGUAGUCC